rnacentral:tRNA from 1 species
GGGCCUAUAGCUCAGCUGGUUAGAGCGCACGCCUGAUAAGCGUGAGGUCGGUGGUUCGAGUCUACUUAGGCCCACCA